rnacentral:rRNA from 1 species
GACGAACCGAGCGAACGUUGUUCGGAAUCACUGGGCUUAAAGGGCGCGUAGGCGGGCUGCCAAGUUUGGGGUGAAAUCCCCCCGCUCAACGGGGGAACGGCCGCCGGAUACUGUCGGCCUCGGAGGGGGGUAGGGGCGAGCGGAACGCUGGGUGGAGCGGUGAAAUGCGUUGGAUAUCCAGCGGAACUCCGGUGGCGAAGGCGGCUCGCUGGGCCCUCUCUGACGCUGAGGCGCGAAAGCGUGGGGAGCAAACAGG